UGCCAGCCGCCGCGGUAAUACAGAAGGGGCGAGUGUUAUUCGGAAUAAUUGGGCGUAAAUGGCGUGUAGGCGGGUUCUUAAGUCUGAUGUGAAAUCCCUCGGCUCAACCGAGGACGUGCAUUGGAUACUGGGAACCUUGAGUCCUGGAGAGGAAAGCGGAAUUCCAAGUGUAGAGGUGAAAUUCGUAGAUAUUUGGAGGAACACCAGUGGCGAAGGCGGCUUUCUGGACAGUGACUGACGCUGAGGCGCGAAAGCGUGGGUAGCAAACAGGAUUAGAUA
rnacentral:rRNA from 1 species